rnacentral:rRNA from 2 species
ACUUAAGCAUAUCAAUAAGCGGAGGAAAAGAAACCAACAGGGAUUCCCCUAGUAACGGCGAGUGAAGCGGGAACAGCUCAAAUUUGAAAUCUGGCCCUUGGGUCCGAGUUGUAAUUUGCAGAGGAUGCUUUUGGUGCGGUGCCUUCCGAGUUCCCUGGAACGGGACGCCUUAGAGGGUGAGAGCCCCGUACGGUUGGCCACCAAGCCUGUGUAAAGCUCCUUCGACGAGUCGAGUAGUUUGGGAAUGCUGCUCAAAAUGGGAGGUAUAUUUCUUCUAAAGCUAAAUACUGGCCAGAGACCGAUAGCGCACAAGUAGAGUGAUCGAAAGAUGAAAAGCACUUUGAAAAGAGGGUUAAAUAGCACGUGAAAUUGUUGAAAGGGAAGGAUUUAUGACCAGACUUUUUCUAGGGGGAUCAUCCGGUGUUCUCACCGGUGCACUUCCCCUAGUUGAGGCCAGCAUCGGUUUCUGUCGGGGGAUAAAAGCUUCAGGAAUGUGGCUCCCUCCGGGGAGUGUUAUAGCCUGUUGCAUAAUACCCUGACGGGGACCGAGGUUCGCGCAUUGCAAGGAUGCUGGCGUAAUGGUUAUUAAUCACCCGUCUUGAAACACGGACCAAGGAGUCGAACAUUUGUGCGAGUGUUUGGGUGUUAAACCCUCACGCGUAAUGAAAGUGAACGGAGGUGAGAGCCCUUCGGGGUGCAUCAUCGACCGAUCCUGAUGUCUUCGGAUGGAUUUGAGUAAGAGCAUAACUGUUCGGACCCGAAAGAUGGUGAACUAUGCGUGGAUAGGGUGAAGCCAGAGGAAACUCUGGUGGAGGCUCGCAGCGGUUCUGACGUGCAAAUCGAUCGUCAAAUCUGCGCAUGGGGGGCGAAAGACUAAUCGAACCAUCUAGUAGCUGGUUACCGCCGAAGUC